CCUACGGGUGGCAGCAGUGAGGAAUCUUGGUCAAUGGACGAGAGUCUGAACCAGCCAAGUAGCGUGAAGGAUGACUGCCCUAUGGGUUGUAAACUUCGUUUAUAAAGGAAUAAAACGAGGCACGUGUUCCUUUUUGCAUGUACUUUAUGAAUAAGGAUCGGCUAACUCCGUGCCAGCCACCGCGGUAAUACGGAGGAGCAGAGCGUUAUCCGGAUUUAUUGGGUUUAAAGGUAGCGUAGAUGGGUUGUUAAGUCAGUUGUGAAAGUUUGCGGCUCAACCGUAAAAUUGCAAUUGAUACUGGCAGUCUUGAGUACAGUUGAGGUAGGCGGAAUUCGUGGUGUAGCUGUGAAAUGCUUAGAUAUCACGAAGAACUCCGAUUGCGAAGGCAGCUUACUAAACUGCCACUGACAUUGAUGCUCGAAAGUGUGGGUAUCAAACAGGAUUAGAUACCCCUGUAGUC
rnacentral:rRNA from 1 species